UGAGGAAUAUUGGGCAAUGCCCGCAAGGGUGACCCAGCAACGCCGCGUGGAGGAUGAAUGUCGUAAGAUUGUAAACUCCUGUUAGAGGGGAAGAAUAGUACCGGUUGGACCGGUAUAUGACUGUACCCUCAGAGAAAGCCCCGGCUAACUACGUGCCAGCAGCCGCGGUAAUACGUAGGGGGCAAGCGUUGUCCGGAUUUACUGGGUGUAAAGGGCGCGCAGGCGGGAUAAAAAGUCAGUGGUGAAAUCCUACAGCUUAACUGUAGAACUGCCUUUGAUACUUUUAUUCUUGAGUUCGGGAGAGAGAGACGGAAUUCCAGGUGUAGUGGUGAAAUACGUAGAUAUCUGGAAGAGCACCAGUUGCGAAGGCGGUCUCUUGGUCCGACACUGACGCUGAGGCGCGAAAGCGUGGGGAGCAAAC
rnacentral:rRNA from 1 species